rnacentral:tRNA from 1 species
AGAGGUUUAGUUUAGUGGUAAAAUAAGAGUCUCCAAAACUCCAGUCAAUUGUUCGAUUCAAUUAACCUCUGCCA